AGCAUGGAUCACUUUGACGACAUCGGCC
rnacentral:piRNA from 1 species